AGAGUUUGAUCCUGGCUCAGAACGAACGCUGGCGGCAUGCCUAACACAUGCAAGUCGAACGAAGCCUUCGGGCUUAGUGGCGCACGGGUGCGUAACGCGUGGGAAUCUGCCCUUGGGUUCGGAAUAACAGUUAGAAAUGACUGCUAAUACCGAAUGAUGUCUUCGGACCAAAGAUUUAUCGCCCAAGGAUGAGCCCGCGUCGGAUUAGCUAGUUGGUGAGGUAAAGGCUCACCAAGGCGACGAUCCGUAGCUGGUCUGAGAGGAUGAUCAGCCACACUGGGACUGAGACACGGCCCAGACUCCUACGGGAGGCAGCAGUGGGGAAUAUUGGACAAUGGGCGAAAGCCUGAUCCAGCAAUGCCGCGUGAGUGAUGAAGGCCUUAGGGUUGUAAAGCUCUUUUACCCGGGAUGAUAAUGACAGUACCGGGUGAAUAAGCCCCGGCUAACUCCGUG
rnacentral:rRNA from 1 species